rnacentral:rRNA from 1 species
UACGUAGGUGACCAGCGUUGUCCGGAUUUACUGGGCGUAAAGAGCGCGCAGGCGGUCGUUCAAGUCGAGUGUGAAAGCCCCCGGCUCAACUGGGGAGGGUCAUUCGAUACUGAUCGACUUGAAGGCAGGAGAGGGAAGUGGAAUUCCCGGUGUAGUGGUGAAAUGCGUAGAUAUCUGGAGGAACACCGGUGGCGAAGGCGGCAUCCUGGACCACGACUGACGCUGAGUGAGCGAAAGCCAGGGGAGCAAACGGG